rnacentral:rRNA from 1 species
AUUGAACGCUGGCGGCAUGCUUUACACAUGCAAGUCGAACGGUAACAGGCCUUCGGGUGCUGACGAGUGGCGAACGGGUGAGUAAUGCAUCGGAACGUACCCAGAGGUGGGGGAUAACGCAGCGAAAGCUGUGCUAAUACCGCAUGUGAUCUGAGGAUGAAAGCGGGGGACCGAGCAGCAAUGUUUGGCCUCGCGCCUUUGGAGCGGCCGAUGUCGGAUUAGCUAGUUGGUGAGGUAAAGGCCUACCAAGGCGACGAUCCGUAGCUGGUCUGAGAGGACGACCAGCCACACUGGGACUGAGACACGGCCCAGACUCCUACGGGAGGCAGCAAUGGGGAAUUUUGGACAAUGGGCGCAAGCCUGAUCCAGCAAUGCCGCGUGCGGGAAGAAGGCCUUCGGGUUGUAAACCGCUUUUGGCAGGAACGAAACGGUGUCCGCUAAUACCGGGCGCUAAUGACGGUACCUGCAGAAUAAGCACCGGCUAACUACGUG